CUCCAGACUCCUACGGGAGGCAGCAGUGGGGAAUAUUGGGCAAUGGGCGCAAGCCUGACCCAGCAACGCCGCGUGAAGGAAGAAGGCUUUCGGGUUGUAAACUUCUUUUCUCAGGGACGAAGAAAGUGACGGUACCUGAGGAAUAAGCCACGGCUAACUACGUGCCAGCAGCCGCGGUAAUACGUAGGUGGCAAGCGUUAUCCGGAUUUACUGGGUGUAAAGGGCGUGUAGGCGGGACUGCAAGUCAGAUGUGAAAACCACGGGCUCAACCUGUGGCCUGCAUUUGAAACUGUAGUUCUUGAGUACUGGAGAGGCAGACGGAAUUCCUAGUGUAGCGGUGAAAUGCGUAGAUAUAUGGAGGAGCACCGGUGGCGAAAGCGGCUCUCUGGCCUGUAACUGACACUGAGGCUCGAAAGCGUGGGGAGCAAACAGGAUUAGAUACCCGCGUAAUA
rnacentral:rRNA from 1 species